rnacentral:rRNA from 1 species
UACGUAGGGUGCGAGCGUUAAUCGGAAUUACUGGGCGUAAAGCGUGCGCAGGCGGCGCGUUAAGACAGGUGUGAAAGCCCCGAGCUUAACUUGGGAAUUGCGCUUGUGACUGGCGUGCUGGAGUGUGGCAGAGGGAGGUGGAAUUCCACGUGUAGCAGUGAAAUGCGUAGAUAUGGGGAGGAACACCGGUGGCGAAGGCGGCCAUCUGGACGGAUACUGACGCUGAGACGCGAAAGCGUGGGGAGCAAACAGG